UAUCAAUCUUAGUGGCGAACGGGUGAGUAACGCGUAAUCAACCUGCCCUUCAGAGGGGGACAACAGUUGGAAACGACUGCUAAUACCGCAUACGAUCUAACCUCGGCAUCGAGGAUAGAUGAAAGGUGGCCUCUAUUUAUAAGCUAUCACUGAAGGAGGGGAUUGCGUCUGAUUAGCUAGUUGGAGGGGUAACGGCCCACCAAGGCGAUGAUCAGUAGCCGGUCUGAGAGGAUGAACGGCCACAUUGGGACUGAGACACGGGCCAGACUCCUACGGGAGGCAGCAGUGGGGAAUCUUCCGCAAUGGACGAAAGUCUGACGGAGCAACGCCGCGUGAGUNAUGACGGCCUUCGGGUUGUAAAGCUCUGUUAAUCGGGACGAAAGGCCUUCUUGCGAAUAGUUAGAAGGAUUGACGGUACCGGAAUAGAAAGCCACGGCUAACUACGUGCCAGCAGCCGCGGUAAUACGUAGGUGGCAAGCGUUGUCCGGAAUUAUUGGGCGUAAAGCGCGCGCAGGCGGAUUGGUCAGUCUGUCUUAAAAGUUCGGGGCUUAACCCCGUGAUGGGAUGGAAACUGCCAAUCUAGAGUAUCGGAGAGGAAAGUGGAAUUCCUAGUGUAGCGGUGAAAUGCGUAGAUAUUAGGAAGAACACCAGUGGCGAAGGCGACUUUCUGGACGAAAACUGACGCUGAGGCGCGAAAGCCAGGGGAGCGAACGGGAUUAGAUACCCCGGUAGUCCUGGCCGUAAACGAUGGGUACUAGGUGUAGGAGGUAUCGACCCCUUCUGUGCCGGAGUU
rnacentral:rRNA from 1 species